GCCUACGUACCGCGUCGGCGUGACGUCGUUGUCCCUCUCGCUCGCGCUUCUCGAACAUUGAUCCAUGGCUUCUCCUCCACUUCCUCUCCCCCCUCUAAACCCUACUUCCACAGCCUCCUCAGCGAAACCCGAACCUCCGUACAAAACCCCUUCAUCCUUUUCAAAGAUCCCUUCAUGGGUCUCCUUGAACCCUUCUUCCUCUUCUCCUUCCUCCUCCUCCUCCUCCUCCUCCUCUCUCCAAUCUAACCAAAACCGAACUGGGAUCGUCGAGAACCUCCAUCUCCUCUCCCUCUCCAAGCAGGGCCGAUUCCGCGAAGCUCGCCAAUUCGUCUCCUUCAUGGACUCUUCCUCCAUUCCUGUCAAAACCCAUUUCUACGAAUCCCUUUUCGAUUCAUGCGGAUCUUGGAAAUCUCUUCAGGAUGGUAGGUUCUUCCAUCGGCAUUUGCUGAAGAGGUUAGGAGGAAGAAACCCAGAUGGUCCUCUCGGCGAUUGCCUUCUCAAAAUGUACUUGGAUUGCUCAGGGCUGGAUGAAGCUCGGAAGUUGUUCGAUGAAAUGCCCCAUAGAAGUUUGGCUACUUGGGACAUUAUGAUAUCCAACUUGUUUGCGAGUGGGCAUUUUACAGAAGCGUUUGUUGUCUUUUGCGAGAUGAGAUUGGAAGGAUUUUGGCCUGAUUCAGGCAUUAUUGCAAGCUUAUUGCGAGCAUGUGUGGAUGGUUUACAUAUUGAGCUCGGGCGGCAGCUUCAUGCAUAUAUAAUUAGAAGUGGGUUGUCUCAUGAUGAUUAUAUGAAAGCAGAGUUAGUUAACAUGUAUGUGAAAUGUGGGUUUCUGGACAGUUCUAUCCGCCUAUUUGAUCACAUGGAGGAGAGAAGUGCCGCGACACGGACUACAUUGAUGGUUGGGUAUACUCGGGCUGGAAGAGUAACAGACGCAUUAGCUUUGUUUCGUCGGCUGUUGUCUGAAGGUGUGGAAUUGGAUCAGUUUGUGUUCUCCAUUGCCCUCAAAGUGUGCUGCGAAUUGAAGGAUGACGAAAUCGGGAGGCAAAUUCAUGGAUGUAUUGUGAAAUUAGGGUUUGAUUCAGAUUCUUCGGCAGGAACCCCGAUAGUUGAUUUUUAUGUGAAGUUCGGGAUGAUCGAUGAUGCUCAAAAGGCCUUCUGUAGAAUCUCUGAUCCGAAUGAGGUUUCAUGGAAUGCUAUUAUGUCCGGCUAUUCACAAUGUGGUAGGUAUGAGGAGUGCAUUAAGAUGUUUGAGUAUUUGAGGAACAAAGAAACAGCAUUAGGCUCAUCUGCUUAUACUAUCCUUUUUCAGUUAGCAUCUAAUUUAGCUGAUUCAAAUUCGGGUUAUCAAUUGCACGCUGAUGCAGUAAAGAGAGGGCUUCUUUCCCAGCUCCAUGGCUUGAGUGCAUUGGUCACAAUGUAUUCAAGGCUUGGUAAUUUGAUUUAUGCUCAUAGGGCAUUUGAACUUAUAGCUGAACCGGACACUGUUGCUUGGACUGCUAUUAUAAUGGGUUAUGCUUACCAUGGGAAGGCUUUCAAAGCUUUGGAGCUUUUCAAUAGAAUGAUUAGUUUAGGUUUCGAGCCAAACACAAUUUCUUUUAUUGGUAUAUUAACUGCUUGUAGUCACUCAGGUAUGGUAUUGGAGGCUAGAGAAUAUUUGAACUCGAUGAAUAAGGUUUAUGGUAUUAAACCUACAGUUGAUCACUAUAAUUGUAUGAUUGAUGUUUAUUGUCGUGCUGGGCAUCUAAAAGAGGCAUAUGAAUUUAUUAAAUCUGGGUCUUUUGAACCUGAUGCUAUGAGUUGGAAAAUACUUUUGGGUGGUUGCACUACUCAUCAAAAUGUUGAGAUUGGGGAGAUUGCUGGAGAAAAUUUGCUAAAAAUGGAACUGAAGGAUGCUGCUGCUCAUGUUCUUCUAUUUAACUUGUAUGCCACAGUUGGCAAAUGGGCGGAGGCAGCUUUAGUAAGGAAAAAGAUGAAUGAAAGAGGCAUUAGAAAGGAGGUUAGCUCCAGCUGGAUAACAGUGAAAGGCAGAGUUCACAGAUUCACCGUGGGAGAUAAACAUCACCCUAUAGCUGAUAAAAUAUACUCCAAGUUGGAUGAAUUAGAUAGUGCUAUAAAGUUUUCACAGUCAAUUAAUUGCUUUAAUGAGCGAAUGGAGCAGCUUCUUGACCACAGUGAGAGGCUAGCUACUGCUUUUGGGCUCAUAUCAGUUCCUUUUAACUGUCCUAUUUUAGUAUUCAAAAAUCUUCGUAUUUGCAAGGACUGUCACUCCUUUGUGAAGUUGGUAUCGAAAGUUGAAAGACGUGAAAUUAUUUUGAGGGAUACUAGUCGAUUCCAUCAUUUUAAAGGUGGGAACUGCUCAUGCAAUGAUUUUUGGUAACUGAGGGAGAUCAAAGAAACGUAUUUGAUAAUCAAGUGCCCCUUCAAGAUAUAUCGUUUUUCAGGAUUCUUUGGUGAUGCUUGGAGGUUCAAUCAAUUGAUCUCCUAAUAAUUGUCCAAGGGUUUACAAACUAUUGUAAAGUUGGAAAGGACAUAACUAAGAGUACCUGCCCAUCCUCCUCUUCUGAGAAGUGAGAGGCUCAUUUUCGUAUAAUGAGUUGCAUCAGCUGAAAAUUAUGGUGAUGAAACGCCAAGACUUGGCAAUAUUAUUUUUCUCGGUGCCAUGAUGACUUUAGAACUUUUAUAACAAAAUCAGCCAAACACUCUACAACUUUUAGAAUAGCAUUAUGCCAAAUAGCUCAGCCAAACAGGACCACAAUGUUUCUUGGUAAAGCACUACUCAAAGAGCACCUCAUCAAUCUGCUACAGCUGGGCGGAAAACAAGCUUAAAUGUUUACCAAGACUGGGCAAUUUGAAGGCCUAAAGGAAUUACAAGGAAUUGAUUCGAAUCGUGAGAGAGGAAAGGAGAGGAGAGCUGAGUCUUGAGAGUGGAAAGGAGAUGUUACCUGAAUUUCCAUCUAAGUGAUAAGUUGAAUCUGAGUCUCUUUAACUUGGUUUUUUUUUUGGCUUUUCUUAGUCGUCCAAUAUUUUUCCCUGAAAAAUAUGAUAUAUACUAUUCUAUGGUAACAUAUACACUACGUUCUUCUUUAGGAAUGGCUAUGCUUUUCUUCUUCCUUAGCAAUGUUUGGCAAAAGAAAAAGGAUAAUCUGAGUUAGCACCUAUUUAUCCCCUAAUCAUGAAGUGCCCCAUUCUUUCGAUCCUUAUUCUGCUGCAAUUGGACUCCAUGACUUGGAUGCUAUCUAUUGUUGAAAUUUGGAUCAAGGACCCUCCUUGUCGAGGCAAGAUGAAAGCCCUAGGCUACUUCUUGGUGCUAAAAUCCUAUAAUUGCUUCAUCGACAGAUCUUUAUUCUGCAGCAAUCAGACCUCAUUACUUGGGAUGCAUUUACUGUUGAAAUUUGGAUCAACAGCCAGGGCAAGAGCAAAGCCCUAAGAUAAUUUGUUGUUGGUUAUCCUAAAACUGUAGAAAUGCUAUUUGAAUUUUUUUACAUUACUAGAGCGAAAAUUUCUUGGCAUCAGUUUGCAGUGUUGGUUUAGUUCAAUGCUUUUUUUUUUUUGCAUGUUGUUGGGUUCGUUUUAUAUCCUAAACUACGCCGCUUUACCAUAUGAUUCUUCCUGGAGUAUGGUUCUUCUACCUGCUUUAUACUUUGCUUAGGUUAUGUUCGGAUGUAUGAAUAUUUUGUUUGAUGUAUAAAUUUUUUGGAAUAAGAUAAAUUAUUUCU